GACGAACGCUGGCGGCGUGCUUAACACAUGCAAGUCGAACGCUGAGGCUUGGUGCUUGCUCUGAGUGGAUGAGAGGCGCACGGGUGAGUAAUACGUGCGUAACCUGCCUUUGACACUGGGAUAAGCCCGGGAAACCGGGUCUAAUACUGGAUAUGACAUGGCACUGCAUGGGGGGGUGCGGGAAGGGGUUUCCUGGUUUUGGUUGGGCUCUCGGCCGAUCAGCUUGUUGGCGGGGUAAUGGCCGACCAAGGCGACGGCGGGUAGCCGGCCUGAGAGGGUGACCGGCCACACUGGGACUGAGACACGGCCCAGAAUCGUACGGGAGGCAGCAGUGGGGAAUAUUGCACAAUGGGCGGAAGCCUGAUGCAGCGACGCCGCGUGAGGGAUGACGGCCUUCGGGUUGUAAACCUCUUUCAGCACGGAAGAAGCGAGAGUGACGGUACGUGCAGAAGAAGCGCCGGCUAACUACGUG
rnacentral:rRNA from 1 species